rnacentral:lncRNA from 1 species
CAUGGCGAAUGGACUUCAAGAUGUUAUUUAAGACCACAUUAGAGUUUAGAACCACUUUAAGACAAUCCAUUCAAGGCAAAGCAGACAAUUUGAGGAAAGGCAAGACAUUUGGAGUUUGGAGAUUGGAUUCAAAAAGUUUGUAUUUUAGACUAGAAUUUGGAUGAAAGAAAUGGAUGAUUUUAAAUUAUAAUAAGUGAGUUAUGGUUUUUUGAAAUUAGGUUGUGAUUUUAUUACCUAUUGUUACGCUUUUAAGCAUAUAGAGAGUUGAAAGAAAGCUUUGAUAAAUUAGAAAGUGAAUUUUGAAAGUUGACUUAAAGAACUACAUUUUAUACAAAAACAUCAAUACAUAUCAAUCUAGAAUAAAGGAAAUAGAUCUAUGAGAAGUUAGUAUUCA